GAGCACUGUUUCGGCUAGGGGGCCAUCCCGGCUUACCAACCCGAUGCAAACUGCGAAUACCGGAGAAUGUUAUCACGGGAGACACACGGCGGGUGCUAACGUCCGUCGUGAAGAGGGAAACAACCCAGACCGCCAGCUAAGGUCCCAAAGUCAUGGUUAAGUGGGAAACGAUGUGGGAAGGCCCAGACAGCCAGGAUGUUGGCUUAGAAGCAGCCAUCAUUUAAAGAAAGCGUAAUAGCUCACUGGUCGAGUCGGCCUGCGCGGAAGAUGUAACGGGGCUAAACCAUGCACCGAAGCUGCGGCAGCGACGCUGAUGCGUUGUUGGGUAGGGGAGCGUUCUGUAAGCCUGCGAAGGUGGCCUGUGAGGGUUGCUGGAGGUAUCAGAAGUGCGAAUGCUGACAUAAGUAACGAUAAAGCGGGUGAAAAGCCCGCUCGCCGGAAGACCAAGGGUUCCUGUCCAACGUUAAUCGGGGCAGGGUGAGUCGACCCCUAAGGCGAGGCCGAAAGGCGUAGUCGAUGGGAAACGGGUUAAUAUUCCCGUACUUGGUGUUACUGCGAAGGGGGGACGGAGAAGGCUAUGUUGGCCGGGCGACGGUUGUCCCGGUUUAAGCGUGUAGGUGUGUGUUCCAGGUAAAUCCGGUUCACUUUAACACUGAGGCGUGAUGACGAGGCACUACGGUGCUGAAGCAACAAAUGCCCUGCUUCCAGGAAAAGCCUCUAAGCAUCAGGUAACAUCAAAUCGUACCCCAAACCGACACAGGUGGUCAGGUAGAGAAUACCAAGGCGCUUGAGAGAACUCGGGUGAAGGAACUAGGCAAAAUGGUGCCGUAACUUCGGGAGAAGGCACGCUGACACGUAGGUGAAGUGAUUUACUCAUGGAGCUGAAGUCAGUCGAAGAUACCAGCUGGCUGCAACUGUUUAUUAAAAACACAGCACUGUGCAAACACGAAAGUGGACGUAUACGGUGUGACGCCUGCCCGGUGCCGGAAGGUUAAUUGAUGGGGUCAGCGCAAGCGAAGCUCCUGAUCGAAGCCCCGGUAAACGGCGGCCGUAACUAUAACGGUCCUAAGGUAGCGAAAUUCCUUGUCGGGUAAGUUCCGACCUGCACGAAUGGCGUAAUGAUGGCCAGGCUGUCUCCACCCGAGACUCAGUGAAAUUGAACUCGCUGUGAAGAUGCAGUGUACCCGCGGCAAGACGGAAAGACCCCGUGAACCUUUACUAUAGCUUGACACUGAACAUUGAGCCUUGAUGUGUAGGAUAGGUGGGAGGCUUUGAAGUGUGGACGCCAGUCUGCAUGGAGCCGGCCUUGAAAUACCACCCUUUAAUGUUUGAUGUUCUAACGUGGACCCGUGAUCCGGGUUGCGGACAGUGUCUGGUGGGUAGUUUGACUGGGGCGGUCUCCUCCUAAAGAGUAACGGAGGAGCACGAAGGUUGGCUAAUCCUGGUCGGACAUCAGGAGGUUAGUGCAAUGGCAUAAGCCAGCUUGACUGCGAGCGUGACGGCGCGAGCAGGUGCGAAAGCAGGUCAUAGUGAUCCGGUGGUUCUGAAUGGAAGGGCCAUCGCUCAACGGAUAAAAGGUACUCCGGGGAUAACAGGCUGAUACCGCCCAAGAGUUCAUAUCGACGGCGGUGUUUGGCACCUCGAUGUCGGCUCAUCACAUCCUGGGGCUGAAGUAGGUCCCAAGGGUAUGGCUGUUCGCCAUUUAAAGUGGUACGCGAGCUGGGUUUAGAACGUCGUGAGACAGUUC
rnacentral:rRNA from 1 species